rnacentral:RNase_P_RNA from 1 species
CCAGACAGUUGGAUGAUCGCUAUCUCGGGGUAUAAAAGGUAGAGGAAAGUCCGGGCUCCACGGAAACACGGUGCCGGGUAAUACCCGGCGGGGGUAACUCCAGGGAAAGUGCCACAGAAAGCAAACCGCCCAUAUUGGGUAAGGGUGAAAGGGUGUGGUAAGAGCACACCGCGCUAACGGUAACGUUGGCGGCAGGGUAAACCCCACUGGGAGCAAGACCAAAUAGGAAUGGCUCGUUUUCAAAAUAAUUUGAAAACACUUGAGUUUUCGCACGCUGUUCGGGUCGGUCGCUUGAGACGCUCGGUAACGUUCGUCCUAGAUGAAUGAUCAUCAAUCUUUGCUACUAACGCAGAGAUUACAGAACCCGGCUUAUAGACUGUCUGGCAUA